GGUCUCCACCCACAAGAGAAAGUCUACUUAAACCCCUGGGAGACCCCUCCAUUUUGUCUUCAGCUGGCUAAAGAGAGAGCCUCUCCACCCCCAAGGAUACCUGAAAGGAACUGGAACAAAGGACAGUAACUACAGGGGCUGUGAGUGAUUGCUGGACCCAGACCAGAAGGAGACUAGUUUGUAAAAGAAAGUAUACUAGUCUGCCCCCAACCUUCCACAGCUGGAUUGGAAUUGGCAAUUAAACCACCAGAUCAGAAUCAGCUGAAGUCUACUGCUAAGUCACAGAGAAGCGAGUAAACUGAACGGCUCUUCAGGGAAUUAUCCUCUGAAGUGAGGGAAGCAACAAUAGUGAGGUAAAGAAUUUAAAGAAGUGAAAUGAGGCCACGGAUGUGAGAAAGAAAGGGGAGCGAGAUGGAGAAGGAUCCAAAAGAUAAAGUCACAAGAAGAGGAAAACAAAAAUAUACCAUACCUAAGACAAGAAAAGCCAGAGAACAUUUAAAAGAAAGAAAAGACAAAGAUCUGGGAAAUCAUCCUGACAAAGAUUAUUUGAAAAAAAAUCAAGCAGAGUCAUGAGGAGGAAAAGAAAAUUAUUUAAAAACAAACAAACAAAAAAAACCACACACCAACACAGCAUACCAUUAAAAUAAGAACAAGCCUUUUUAAAGUAAAGAAACUUACCAGAUUAUAAAAAAGUGGGCAUUAAUCAUUACACCGAGAGCAAUGUUUUAUCAUUGAUAUAUGUAAAUUAAAAAACAAUCAAAAUAGACAAUAGAUGCAUAAGGAUAUUCAUCUUAUAAUCACUUACGAAUGAAAAUUAUUUGUAUGUGAAAAUGUUUCCUUCCUUCAGUGUUAAAGUCCUUGAAUAGCCACUGCAUUUACUUUCUGUCAAAUUAAAUAUCAGUUGAUUAGUGGAUGACAUGAAUAAUUUUAGCAAAGAUGGUUUCUCAAA